GUGGGGAAUAUUGGACAAUGGGCGAAAGCCUGAUCCAGCAACGCCGCGUGAGGGAUGACGGCCUUCGGGUUGUAAACCUCUUUCAGUACCGACGAAGCGCAAGUGACGGUAGGUACAGAAGAAGCACCGGCCAACUACGUGCCAGCAGCCGCGGUAAUACGUAGGGUGCGAGCGUUGUCCGGAAUUAUUGGGCGUAAAGGGCUCGUAGGCGGUUUGUCGCGUCGAAAGUGAAAACUCAGGGCUUAACCCUGAGCCUGCUUCCGAUACGGGCAGACUAGAGGUAUGCAGGGGAGAACGGAAUUCCUGGUGUAGCGGUGAAAUGCGCAGAUAUCAGGAGGAACACCGGUGGCGAAGGCGGUUCUCUGGGCAUUACCUGACGCUGAGGAGCGAAAGUGUGGGGAGCGAACAGG
rnacentral:rRNA from 1 species